AUGUCCGUCAUGCGGGUUCUUGCGCUGCUGGCGGCGGCGGCGCUGGUGGCCGCGGCGCCGGCGCGCGUGGGCGCGGCGGGGGCGUGCACGGCGGAGAAGUUCUCCAAGAACCGCGUGUACGCGGCCUGCACCGACCUGCCCACCCUGGGCGCGUCCGUGCACUGGACCUACGACCCAGCGGCGUCCUCCCUGUCCGUGGCGUUCGUCGCCGCGCCGCCCUCGGCCGGCGGCUGGGUCGCCUGGGGGCUCAACCCCACCGGCGACGGCAUGAGCGGCACGCAGGCGCUCGUCGCCUCGCCCACGGGCGGCGGCGGCGCGUACGGCGUCCAGACGUUCGACAUCCAGGGCACCUCGCUCGGAUCGCCGGGCCGCAUCGCCUACAAGACGUCCGACCUCGCCGCCGAGGUCGGCGCCGACGGCCGCGUCCAGAUGUUCGGGAAGCUCGCGCUCCAGAACGGCACCGGGGAGGUGAACCAGGUCUGGCAGGUGGGCCCAGCGUCGAGCGGGAGCAUCGGCAUACACGCCAUGGCCGCUGCCAACAUGGGGGCCAAGGGGAAGCUCAACCUCGUCACGGGGGCGACCACCGCCGUCAGCGGAGGCAGCAUCCUCAGGAAGAAAAACACCCAUGGAAUUCUGAAUGCUGUUAGCUGGGGGAUUCUUCUCCCAAUGGGAGCCAUAGUUGCUAGAUACCUCAAGACAUUCAAAUCAGCCGACCCUGCUUGGUUCUACCUUCACGUUGCUUGCCAGCUGAUUGGGUAUGCUGUGGGAGUAUCUGGCUGGGCCACCGGUAUUCAUCUAGGAAAUCUGUCCAAGGGAAUCACCUACUCGCUUCACAGGAACAUCGGGAUCGCUGUAUUUGCUCUUGGUACCGUUCAGAUCUUUGCACUGUUCCUGAGGCCGAAGAAGGAUCACAAGCUGCGCGUGUACUGGAACGUGUACCACCACUCGGUGGGCUACACCAUCAUCAUCCUGGGCAUCGUCAACAUCUUCAAGGGCAUGAGCAUCCUGGACGUGGCGCAGAAGUGGAAGACUGGGUACAUCAUCGCCAUCGGCAUCCUGGGCGGCAUCGCCGUGGUGCUGGAGGUGAUCACCUGGGGCAUCGUGCUGAAGAGGAGGAAGACGGAGGACAAGGCCUACAACGGCAGCGCCAACAACAACAACGGCCAUCUGCCGAUGUGA
rnacentral:rRNA from 1 species